CUGGGUGAUGCAAACAGUUAAUGCAUUUGGCUGCUAACUAAAAGGCUGGAGGUUCAAGUCCACCCAGA
rnacentral:tRNA from 1 species